rnacentral:sRNA from 1 species
UGGAACAAGUUUAUUGAAUCUCUCUGUCCUGUCAUCCCAAUACUACAGGGCUAUGCCGACACAGAAGAUCCUCUGGGUAACUGCAUUCUCCUUCUAAGCAAAGCAAGUUCUGACACAGAAGAGAUUCUUCCGUGUACUACCCGAUUAAAGUCCAUGCUGCGACUUUUGCUAGUGAAAAAGCCAUCGGUCCGUUCACUAGCAUUAAAGCUUUUAGCAUUCCAUCUUACCAGUGAAGAAGGGGCUGAUACAAAGCGUCCUCUAAUAGACGCCAGAGUUCUCUCCAGAGUUACUAAUUUAUUCAUUGUGAAGAAACCUAUUGAACUCAAACUGGAUGACAGAAGAGAGCUGGUUAUUAAGUUGGAGACUGUUGAAAAGGUAUAUGAAAUCUUCACCUCAGAUGAUGUUGAUCUCGUUUUGAGAAAGUCAGCUGCUGAACAGUUAGCUGUGAUUAUGCAAGAUAUUAAAAUGCAUGCUGUGGUGAAAAAGUUAUGCUUAAUUGACAAAAUAAUUGAGUAUUUAAAUGAAUGUGUGAGUCAAGAUGGCAAGGUUGUAGAAUGUUUGGUACAACCAUGCCUCACACUCUUGAGGAAGGUUUUAUGUGGUGAUCCAGUCAUGCGUGUUUCGCUCUCGCAACAGUCUUCUCUUUUGACCGUGUUAUUCAGAGAGACUUAGGCCACUGCUUUUUAAUAUUUUGCAAGAGUCAUGUAGAAUCAUCUGAAUGUGCUGAAGAGUCACGUACAAGCAUCUGAAUGUGCUUCAUCUUGUCUAUUAUCAGGCAUAUAGGAGAUAAGUGAGAUUUAUGUUCAAAAUAUGUUAUUAUAAUGUAGUCAUUUUAUUUUAGCAUUUUUUCCUCCUGUUGGCUUCUGCUUGCCAAGUGAGUAAGAUGCAGUUUAUUUAAGUAGCAGCCCUAAAACCAGGUAAAGCUCUAAACAGAUUCAGUGUGUUUAGGCUCAUAACAUUUUGAGUAGACUAUAACGUUUUUAUAAGAUUGUAUAGACUGAUCAUCUGAAAGAGCAGCAGUUAUGGAUUUUUAGUUUUCUUUAAUCCUGUUAAUAAUUGUCUUCUUAUUAACCUCAUUCACUUGAAUUUAGUUCCUGGUUUACCUUUUCAUUUAUAAUUUUCAUUUAAAUUAUUCAAGCAUGGAACUUAUUAUGAACACCUACUAGAUUCAAAAGCACAUUUCAAGGCAAUAUAAUCUAUACCCUUUUCAGUAUUUCAGUUUUUCUAUUUCAUUGCUGUUUGUGGAAAUUACUUUCAAUGAGUUUGAGAAUGAAUAUAGUAUCCUCCAUUAAUGGAUUUAGUUUCAGGAAAAAUUUUACUUACUUACUUAUUUAUUUAUUGAGACAGAGUUUCACUC